ensembl:snoRNA
UGAUGACACUCUCUGGAACUGUUACACUACCAUAAUUAAAGUGUACUGAAUCUUUUUCUCUCUGAAGGGGGAGGGGGAUAAAAUAAUU